UACAACUUUCAGCAAUGGAUUUCUUGGCUCCUACAACGAUGAAGAACGCAGCGAAAUGCGAUAUGUAAUAUGAAUUGCACGAUUUCGGAAUCAUCAAAAUUUUGAACGCACAUUGCAUUACCGGGAAUGUACCUGGUAGUAUGCUUGGUUGAGUGU
rnacentral:rRNA from 1 species